UACGUAGGGUGCAAGCGUUGUCCGGAAUUAUUGGGCGUAAAGAGCUCGUAGGCGGUCUGUCGCGUCUGCUGUGAAAACUCGGGGCUUAACCCCGGGCCUGCAGUGGGUACGGGCAGACUAGAGUGCGGUAGGGGAGACUGGAAUUCCUGGUGUAGCGGUGAAAUGCGCAGAUAUCAGGAGGAACACCGGUGGCGAAGGCGGGUCUCUGGACCAAUACUGACGAUCAGGUGCGAAAGCGUGGGGAGCAAACAGG
rnacentral:rRNA from 1 species